rnacentral:rRNA from 1 species
AGUCGAGGGGUAUAGUUCUUCGGGACUAGAGACCGGCGCACGGGUGCGUAACGCGUAUGCAAUCUGCCUUUCACAGAGGGAUAGCCCAGAGAAAUCUGGAUUAAUACCUCAUAGUAUUAUGGAAGGGCAUCCUUUUAUAAUUAAAGUCACAACGGUGAAAGAUGAGCAUGCGUCCCAUUAGCUAGUUGGUAAGGUAACGGCUUACCAAGGCAACGAUGGGUAGGGGUCCUGAGAGGGAGAUCCCCCACACUGGUACUGAGACACGGACCAGACUCCUACGGGAGGCAGCAGUGAGGAAUAUUGGUCAAUGGGCGCAAGCCUGAACCAGCCAUGCCGCGUGCAGGAUGACGGUCCUAUGGAUUGUAAACUGCUUUUGUACGAGAAGAAACACUGAUUCGUGAAUCAGCUUGACGGUAUCGUAAGAAUAAGGAUCGGCUAACUCCGUGCCAGCAGCCGCGGUAAUACGGAGGAUCCAAGCGUUAUCCGGAAUCAUUGGGUUUAAAGGGUCCGUAGGCGGUUUAGUAAGUCAGUGGUGAAAGCCCAUCGCUCAACGGUGGAACGGUCAUUGAUACUGCUGAACUUGAAUUAUUAGGAAGUAACUAGAAUAUGUAGUGUAGCGGUGAAAUGCUUAGAUAUUACAUGGAAUACCAAUUGCGAAGGCAGGUUACUACUAAUGGAUUGACGCUGAUGGACGAAAGCGUGGGGAGCGAACAGGAUUAGAUACCCUGGUAGUCCACGCCGUAAACGAUGGAUACUAGCUGUUGGAAGCAAUUUCAGUGGCUAAGCGAAAGUG